UUGAAUUAAAAAAGGAAGAGCUAUUGAAUAUUGGUUAACUUGCCUUUGUUAUAAAAACUAAAUUAAGUGAAAAUGGAAUUGAAAGUGAC